rnacentral:misc_RNA from 1 species
GAUGAAGAACGCAGCGAAAUGCGAUAAGUAAUGUGAAUUGCAGAAUUCAGUGAAUCAUCGAAUCUUUGAACGCAUCUUGCGCUCCUUGGUAUUCUGAGGAGCAUGCCUGAUUGAGUGUCAUUAAAUUCUCAACUACACUGACUUUGAAUUGGUGUGGCUUGGAUUUGGGGGGAAAAUUGUUGUGGGCUUUUUGUAUAGUCUGCUCCCCUGAAAUUGAUUAGCGGUACCUUUGUGGAACUGUCUACAGGUGUGAUAAUUAUCUACAUCUUAGACAUCUGCUGGAAUGCUGCUUUCUAAACCUUACUUGUAUUGACAAUCUUGACCUCAAAUCUGGUAGGACUACCCGCUGAACUUAAGCAUAUCAAUAAGCGGAGGA